UACGGAGGGUGCAAGCGUUAUCCGGAUUCCCUGGGUUUAAAGGGUGCGUAGGCGGGCAGAUAAGUCAGUGGUGCAAUACCUGAGCUUAACUUGGGAACUGCCAUUGAUACUAUUUGUCUUGAAUGUCGUGGAGGUUAGCGGAAUAUGUCAUGUAGCGGUGAAAUGCUUAGAGAUGACAUAGAACAUCUAUUGCGAAGGCAGCUAACUACGCGAAUAUUGACGCUGAGGCACGAAAGCGUGGGGAUCAAACAGG
rnacentral:rRNA from 1 species